CUUUCGCUCAGUGAUGUAGUUAUCUCAAAACUCAAUCCGUUUGAAACAAAUUAACUGACUUGCCUAGGAGGUGGGAAGAAUCGCUCAGAGACGAGGCGACCUGGGUCUUAAUUAUCAGUCUAAGCUAAUGUGUUUCAAUAUAUAAAGCCCCAAGAACUGUCAUAGCUAUCACGAAGUGAACCAUCACAUAUUCCCGUGUUUCUAUGAAACCAAUGACAUUUACACUGUCACCAGCGAAGAAAGCGUAACAGAUUACAUUAAUCAUUAAAACAAUAAUAAAACUCUGAUUUCAACUUCUUUCCUUUUCCACACAAUUCAAUUACACAUUGGCCUCCAUAAGACAGAUUCCUAAUAUUUGCUGGUUCUUUUCUUAUAUAUUGAAAUUUUUAUAAUCGAGUGGGGGUUUUUUUGUUUUGUUUUGUUUUUUUAAAUAGGGAUCUCUCCAUUCUGUCCUCCAAAAGGAAAAAUUACUGUUGACAAAGGCAGUUGAAGUAAAAGUUAGGUUCAACGUUGUGGGUUUUAAAGAAAUAUUUAUGAAUAAGAUGGGUAGUGUAUUCAUGAGGUAAGGUAAUUAAUAUUUCAACACAGGACUAUGAUGGAUUUGAAUAAAAUACACUUGCUUCCAUGAGGUUCCAAUUCAAAGUGGACACUGAACAGAGAAAGCUGGCAGCGUUACGAUGUCUAGAACAGGUGGAAAGUGCUCCGAGGCUGCCACGGAAAGGAUUCUACUUCCUGGUUCCUGUGCACUCAAUAAACAGACUCCGGCAAUA